UUAAGUUCCUGAUGUCACACUGCCAAGAAAAGCUUCUAGUGAGAAAGUAACUGCCCGUACCGCAAACCGACACAGGUAGUUGAGGAGAGAAUCCUAAGGUGUGCGAGAGAACUCUCGUUAAGGAACUCGGCAAAAUGACCCCGUAACUUCGGGAGAAGGGGUGCUGACCGCAAGGUCAGCCGCAGUGAAUAGGCCCAAGCGACUGUUUAUCAAAAACACAGGUCUCUGCAAAAUCGAAAGAUGACGUAUAGGGGCUGACGCCUGCCCGGUGCUGGAAGGUUAAGAGGAGAGGUUAGCGCAAGCGAAGCUUUGAAUUGAAGCCCCAGUAAACGGCGGCCGUAACGAUAACGGUCCUAAGGUAGCGAAAUUCCUUGUCGGGUAAGUUCCGACCCGCACGAAAGGCGUAACGAUUUGGGCACUGUCUCAACGAGAGACUCGGUGAAAUUAUAGUACCAGUGAAGAUGCUGGUUACCCGCGACAGGACGGAAAGACCCCAUGGAGCUUUACUGCAGUUUGAUAUUGCGUGUUUGUAUCACAUGUACAGGAUAGGUAGGAGCCGAAGAUACCGGGACGCCAGUCUCGGAGGAGGCAACGGUGGGAUACUACCCCUGUGAUAUGACCACUCUAACCCGCUGCUCUUAGCGAGCAGGGAGACAGUGUCAGACGGGCAGUUUGACUGGGGCGGUCGCCUCCAAAAAUGUAACGGAGGCGCCCAAAGGUUCCCUCAGAAUGGUUGGAAAUCAUUCGUAGAGUGUAAAGGCAGAAGGGAGCUUGACUGCGAGACCUACAAGUCGAGCAGGGACGAAAGUCGGGCUUAGUGAUCCGGUGGUUCCGCAUGGAAGGGCCAUCGCUCAACGGAUAAAAGCUACCCUGGGGAUAACAGGCUUAUCUCCCCCAAGAGUUCACAUCGACGGGGAGGUUUGGCACCUCGAUGUCGGCUCAUCGCAUCCUGGGGCUGUAGUCGGUCCCAAGGGUUGGGCUGUUCGCCCAUUAAAGCGGUACGCGAGCUGGGUUCAGAACGUCGUGAGACAGUUCGGUCCCUAUCCGUCGCGGGCGUUGGAAAUUUGAGAGGAGCUGUCCUUAGUACGAGAGGACCGGGAUGGACACACCGCUGGUGUACCAGUUGUUCUGCCAAGAGCAUCGCUGGGUAGCUAUGUGUGGACGGGGUAAACGCUGAAAGCAUCUAAGCGUGAAGCCCCCCUCAAAAUGAGAUUUCCCAUCACUUUAAGUGAGUAAGACCCCUGAGAGAUGAUCAGGUAGAUAGGUUGGGAGUGGAAGUACAGCGAUGUAUGGAGCGGACCAAUACUAAUCGGUCGAGGACUUAAUCAA
rnacentral:rRNA from 1 species